AGUGAACGCUGGCGGCAUGCCUAAUACAUGCAAGUCGAACGGCAGCACAGUAAGAGCUCGCCCUUACGGGUGGCGAGUGGCGGACGGGUGAGGAAUACAUCGGAAUCCACUAUGUCGUGGGGGACAACGUAGGGAAACUGAUGCUAAUACCGCAUACGACCUACGGGUGAAAGCAGGGGAUCUUCGCACCUUUCGCGUCUCAAUGAGCCGAUGUCGGAUUACCUAGUGGGCAGGGUAAAGGACCACCAAGCCGACGAUCCGUAGCUGGUCUGAGAGGAUGACCGGCCCCACUGGAACGGGGACACGGCCCGGACUCCUACGGGAGGCAGCGUAGGGGAAUAUUCGACAAUGGGCGCAAGCCUACUCCGGCCCGACCGGGGGGGUGAAAAAGGCCUUCGGUUUGUAAAGCCCUUUUGUUGGGAAAGAAAAGCAGCAGGUUAAUACCCCGCUGUUCUGACGGUACCCAAAAAAUAAGCACCGGCUAACUUCGUG
rnacentral:rRNA from 1 species